UACGGAAGGUGCAAGCAUUAAUCGGAAUUAUUGGGCGUAAAGGGCGCGUAGGCGGUUAAGCAAGUCUGAUGUGAAAUUCCAAAGCUCAACUUUGGAGCUGCAUAAGAAACUGCAUAACUUGAGGAAAGGCGGAGAAAAUGGAAUUCCACGUGUAGCGGUGAAAUGUGUAGAUAUGUGGAAGAACACCGGUGGCGAAAGCGGUUUUCUAGCUUUUACCUGACGCUGAGGCGCGAGAGCAAGGGGAGCAAAC
rnacentral:rRNA from 1 species